AUUGAACGCUGGCGGCAGGCCUAACACAUGCAAGUCGAACGGCAGCACAGAAGAGCUUGCUCUUUGGGUGGCGAGUGGCGGACGGGUGAGUAAUGUCUGGGAAACUGCCCGAUGGAGGGGGAUAACUACUGGAAACGGUAGCUAAUACCGCAUAACGUCGCAAGACCAAAGUGGGGGACCUUCGGGCCUCACACCAUCGGAUGUGCCCAGAUGGGAUUAGCUAGUAGGUGGGGUAAUGGCUCACCUAGGCGACGAUCCCUAGCUGGUCUGAGAGGAUGACCAGCCACACUGGAACUGGGACACGGUCCAGACUCGUACGGGAGGCAGCAGUGGGGAAUAUUGAACAACGGGCGCAAGCCUGAUGCAGCCAUGCCGCGUGUAUGAAGAAGGCCUUCGGGUUGUAAAGUACUUUCAGCGGGGAGGAAGGCGGUGAGGUUAAUAACCUCGCCGAUUGACGUUACCCGCAGAAGAAGCACCGGCUAACUCCGUGCCAGCAGCCGCCGUAA
rnacentral:rRNA from 1 species